AACCCAUGGUGAGGGCACCUUCUCAAUAGAUCUUUUAUCUCUUCUAUGCAUCAUAAAGAGUUUCUAGAUCCAUCUGCACAAAAGAAGAGAUAUCAUUCCUUAAUUU
rfam:Gossypium arboreum cultivar AKA8401 contig_11159_9, whole genome shotgun sequence.